rnacentral:rRNA from 2 species
CAGCCGCCGCGGUAAAACCAGCACCUCAAGUGGUCAGGAUGAUUAUUGGGCCUAAAGCAUCCGUAGCCGGCUCUGUAAGUUUUCGGUUAAAUCUGUAUGCUCAACAUACUGGCUGCCGGGAAUACUGCAGAGCUAGGGAGUGGGAGAGGUAGACGGUACUCGGUAGGAAGGGGUAAAAUCCUUUGAUCUAUUGAUGACCACCUGUGGCGAAGGCGGUCUACCAGAACACGUCCGACGGUGAGGGAUGAAAGCUGGGGGGGCAAACCGGAUUAGAUACCCGGGUAGUCCCAGCUGUAAACUAUGCAAACUCAGUGAUGCAUUGGCUUGUGGCCAAUGCAGUGCUGCAGGGAAGCCGUUAAGUUUGCCGCCUGGGAAGUACGUACGCAAGUGUGAAACUUAAAGGAAUUGGCGGGGGAGCAC